rnacentral:tRNA from 1 species
GCCGCCGUAGCUAAGCCCGGUAUAGCGGCGGUCAGCCGCGGCGCCGGCCGCGGCGGGUCGAGGCUGUUAACCCGUAGGUCCCGGGUUCAAAUCCCGGCGGCGGCG